CUCAUCAAGAUGUGGCUCUCGUUGAGGAAGAUAUUGAAUGGAAUACAGACCUUUUUACUUUUCUUUGUUCCAGACAACUUGUUGCAGGAUGUAGAGUGAAGAGGGUGUUCCAGUGAAAAGACUCCCAGAGGAACGGACACCCAGAUAAAUGUUCUGGGCUGGGACAAGAGCACAAAUUGGUCAGGGGAAUUAAUUAAAUAGCAAGUUUUAGGUGUAUUUUAGGAAAUGUUGGGAUUAUGAAAUGUUGUAAAUAUUGGUGACACAAAGUCAGGAACAGGGUAUGGUGUCCAAGCUAAUUUGAGAGCAGAAUAAGUAAUUUGUGAAAACCUCCAGAUGGUUUGGUCCAGGAGGCCAAUUAGUGCCACAGUAUAAAGGCGCCAGUUAAAAUCUGUCUGUGUUCGCUGGUGAUUGGAGCCUGAUGUCCUGCUGUUGUUGUUUUAUUUAAUAAACAAGUUUGUGGUACACCUGAA